rnacentral:rRNA from 1 species
GACAGAGGGUGCAAACGUUGCUCGGAAUUACUGGGCGUAAAGCGCGUGUAGGCGGUCUCGCGAGUCGGGUGUGAAAGCCCGGGGCUCAACCCCGGACGUGCAUUCGAUACUACGAGGCUGGAGUACUGUAGAGGAGAGCGGAAUUCCCGGUGUAGAGGUGAAAUUCGUAGAUAUCGGGAGGAACACCAGUGGCGAAGGCGGCUCUCUGGACAGUGACUGACGCUGAGACGCGAAAGCGUGGGGAGCGAACAGG